rnacentral:lncRNA from 1 species
GGGAAGCCGGGGCUUGGGAGGGCAGGGCUUUCUCUGCUUGCGGACAUCGCGAAGGGCCUCUGGCAGGCGCCGCCGGGUGGCGGCGAGACGCCUCCGCGCCUCCGGGGUUCCUUGUUGGCUGUCGGAGGAGGACCGGCUGAGGGAUGGCCUGGUGGGGAGGGAGCCCUCGGGCAGUUAGCUGCGUCGGGCCUGGGGCAGUUGUGCUGCACUUGGAGACCUGCCCGCCUUCGGGGCCUGUGUGCACGGGGAGGAUAGGCUGUUUAUCUCUGCAGGCUCAGGAAGGCAGGUAGCUGGCCCGUCAGUCAUCCGCCCUGCAAAGCGCUCCCGAGAGACCCCGUAGAGCGGACCGGACGCGCGCUCGCCUUCGGGCCAGCGCGCGCCUGGCCUGAGGUUUCCCGCCCCCGGAGGCCCUCACAUCUCCCCGGUAACGCUUAGGAAUUCGGGCAGCCAGCUCGCCUACCCCUGGGGAAUCGAGGCAGAGCUUCUGGGAAUGGGGUCUGAGGGAAGAGUGCUCACCAGGCAGUGACAUGUAGCCGUUGAGGAUCGCCACUGCCGUCUCGUUCUGUGUUCUGUAGUCAGAAGUCCAACAUGGUUCUCAAUGGCCUAAAAUCAAGGUGUCCACAGGAUUGUGUUCCUUUCUAGAGAGCAAGCUGCAGUGUGGUAAACUGCCUUUGAAAGAGACCCACAUGUCAAGAAACUGAGCAUCACCUGUGACCAACAGCCAGAAAGUAACUGAAGCCCCAAGACGAACAGCUUGUGCAAAACUAAAUUCUGCCUACAACAAGAGCAUGAAUCGAGACGCAGAUCCUUCCCUAGUUGAUCCUUGAAAUGCUUGCAGCUCUAUGGACACCUUGAUUGCAGCCUUGUGAGAAAUUCUGAACUAGAGGACCUCGUAUGCCUUACCCAUAGGACUUAGAAGAUAAUACGUGUUUUUCAAAAAAAUUUCAUUUGCAUUCAAGGAAGCU